rnacentral:tRNA from 3 species
UCGGGAUAGCUCAGCU